GACGAACGCUGGCGGCGUGCCUAAUACAUGCAAGUAGAACGCUGAAGGAGGAGCUUACUUCUCUGGAUGAGUUGCGAACGGGUGAGUAACGCGUAGGUAACCUGCCUGGUAGCGGGGGAUAACUAUUGGAAACGAUAGCUAAUACCGCAUAAGAGUAGAUGUUGCAUGACAUUUACUUAAAAGGUGCAAUUGCACCACUACCAGAUGGACCUGCGUUGUAUUGAGCUAGUUGGUGGGGUAACGGCUUACCAAGGCGACGAUACAUAGCCGACCUGAGAGGGUGAUCGGCCACACUGGGACUGAGACACGGCCCAGACUCCUACGGGAGGUAGCAGUAGGGAAUCUUCGGCAAUGGACGGAAGUCUGACCGAGCAACGCCGCGUGAGUGAAGAAGGUUUUCGGAUCGUAAAGCUCUGUUGUAAGAGAAGAACGAGUGUGAGAGUGGAAAGUUCACACUGUGACGGUAUCUUACCAGAAAGGGACGGCUAACUACGUGCCAGCAGCCGCCGUAA
rnacentral:rRNA from 1 species